UAUGCUGCUUCAACCCAAGGCGACUAGAAUCUAAUUUUUCUCUCCACUGGAAAAGAGUAGAGAUUAGAUACCAGAUCCACAUAAGUAGCAUUAGCUUUUUUUCUUACUCAAGACUUCCAUGAGGACUCAGCAAGUCUUUGCAAUUCUCCCAAGAAAAUCCACUCCACGGAGGAUGUCUAAGACAUGAAGACUAUGACCAACAGUCACAAGGGUAGAAGAAGGUGGAUUUUACAUCACUCAUUCAGAAAAUGUCUUUCAACACCUCCAUUCCACUCCCUCCAUUUAUCUAUUUCCCCUUUUUCUCUCUUCAAGUCUGGAAGCAGGAGUUUCCUUCUCAGGAAGGAAACAUUUCCCCUUUGUUGACAUGAGAGAUCCUUUUUUGAAUUCAAUGAGAGAUUAUAAAUAACGGAAUUUUGGGUCAUCAUUAUUUUAUGUGUUCAUGUUCCACCUCUCGUUUGCAUUCUAACUCCCUCAGGGGGUGAACUACAUUUUCUGAUUCUUUGGUUGCCCCAUUUUCUCCUUUCCUGGCACCUGGCAUGGGACCCUGCAUACUAGGCUUGUGUGGAAGGAGAUGCAAAGCUUCUUACUUCACCAUGCGGGGCCAUGGAGCUCAGCACCACUCUGCCAGGUGAAGGAGCAGCUGCCACUAAGUGGUAUUUCUGCCAUUGACUUAAUAACUGGGGCCUAGUUUCCCAGGAAUAGGGUUUAUUUCUGCUAACUUAUGAGACUCUUAGAAGCAGAAGCUUCUGGCAUCUGUGUGUGGAACAAGGCCUGAGUGAGAAGUGACACUUUACAUCCCUGGGAAUUAUUAUGAAAGAAUUGGAAACUAAGGAAGAUGAGUAUCACCAACUGGACUCAGGAGUAUUCAAAUCCAGCUCUGGACCAGUCAGCUCUCCUGCCUGUGGAAUUCCUGAGGAGAUGUACAGGAAAUAGGAACGUAGAACAACUUUGUUCUAAGCUUGGCUUCUUCCCAAAACACCAUUGGAAAGCUCAAAUAAUUUGGUCCAAAGUCAUAAGGAGAACCUUACUCUCUCCCAUCCCCCAAAUCCACAUCUUACCUCUAACAAGAGUUAGAGGAGAUAAGAGUGCUGGAGCACAACAAGGAAGAAUUGGAGCGGGGCAUCCUAGGGCAUCAGGAUGGUGCUGGUUAUUUUUACCACUCAUGCUGCCGGAAAGACUAUCAUAG
rnacentral:lncRNA from 12 species